GAACAGUUGGGUCGCUGUAAUCUUGAAACAAAAGCAAACAAUGACAGUGAAAAACAAGAAAGUAGAAAACUAAAAGCUGUCAAAAGCAACUUCUGUACAGUAGUAGGUAAUACAUUCGAGCAAAUCUUCGUGUCCCUUAAAAAAGUCCAAAGUUGACUCUUUCAAUCGAUAUAUUUUCCUUUUUCACCACUCACUACCAUAAUUGCCAAAUACCAAUUGGCAAAUUGCAUAAAUACUACUGUCCUUUUG
rnacentral:misc_RNA from 1 species